AGAGUUUGAUCAUGGCUCAGAACGAACGCUGGCGGCGUGCCUGAGACAUGCAAGUCGUGGGAGAAAGUCGGAGCAAUCCGGCUAGUAAACCGGCGCACGGGUGAGUAACACGUGGGUAACCUGCCUUGGAGACCGGGAUAACCCGUCGAAAGACGGACUAAUACCGGAUAAGACCCCGGAUAGUUCGCUAUCCGAGGUAAAAGGUGGCCUCUGCUCCUGCAAGCUAUUACCUCAAGAGGGGCCCGCGGCCUAUCAGCUAGUUGGUGAGGUAACGGCUCACCAAGGCUAAGACGGGUUGCUGGUCUGAGAGGAUGGUCAGCCACACUGGGACUGAGACACGGCCCAGAGUCCUACGGGAUGCAGCAGUCAGGAAUAUUGCGCAAUGGAGGAAACUCUGACGCAGCGACGCCGCGUGGGUGAUGAAGGCCUUCGGGUCGUAAAGCCCUGUCGGAGGGGAAGAAAAGCCUGUUGGCUAAUAUCCAACGGGCCUUUGACGGUACCCUCAAAGGAAGCACCGGCUAACUCCGUGCCAGCAGCCGCGGUAAGACGGAGGGUGCAAGCGUUGUUCGGAUUGACUGGGCGUAAAGGGCGUGUAGGCGGUUGGUCAAGUCUGGUGUGAAAGCCCGGGGCUCAACCCCGGAAGUGCAUUGGAAACUAGCCAGCUAGAGCGCGAGAGAGGAGGGUGGAAUUCCUGGUGUAGCGGUGAAAUGCGUAGAUAUCAGGAGGAACACCGGCGGCGAAGCGGCCCUCUGGCUCGUUGCUGACGCUGAACGCGAAAGCGUGGGGAGCAAACAGGAUUAGAUAACCCUGGUAGUCCACGCUGUAAACGAUGGGUACUAGGUGUUCGGGGUAUUGACCCCCUGAGUGCCGACGCUAACGCAUUAAGUACCCCGCCUGGGGACUACGGCCGCA
rnacentral:rRNA from 1 species